rnacentral:lncRNA from 1 species
AAGGGCCAGGUCCCUUUAAAAACCGCUGCUUUGGGACGGCUCUCUCAGUUCCAGGCAGUUCAAAGUUAUUUAUCUCAACACUCAUAUAACUGAUGGAAGAGGAAAGGCAUUCACCUGGAUAUGCGAUUUGUUUUCUGGCUGUUCAGUAAAUCCACACUGAUCUAUUACUGAUUGGCUGCCUUUGUACAGUGUGAAUUCACUACUUCCAAGAUUAUUUCAACAGUCUUGUUCUCAAGAAAGCCACCUGAAGAAGGCCCACAAGUCACGGUGCUUGUAAGAAAACAUAUCUUUUGCCUUCAUGAGCCUAGAGUAACUGCUACGAACAUCAAAUAAUGUCCACACAGGUGAGACAGGUAUACUUUUUUUUCAGCUUUAAUUGAGUUUAUUGGUACAUUUUAGGGAUACAGUACAGUUACAUUCAUUGUUGGGAUCAAGACAAGUCUUGAUUCUCACUUUUUCCCUGUUCCCCUGCCCUCCCUUCACACCCUCCUCCCCUCCCCAUCUACAAACACUUUAUACUUUUAAAGGGUGU